GCGGCUGCAACUCGCGGCCGCGGUUCCGAGCUUCUCUCUGUGGACUCUCUGCCCCGUGGGCGCUCACUCUAGGCCUCCAGGGCCUCAUGGACCUGCAAAGCCGAGGACCAGAGAGGGCUCGCCAGGCUGGGUGCUCUCCAAGCGCGAAGAGGCAGGAUGCGCUCGCCGGGGGUCUGCAGCGCGCCCGCGUCGCGCGCCCAUUCCUGGGGACCGGAAUGCCGGCACUUGGGUUCCUCGCCCGCGACCUCCGCGGUCGGCAGCGCAGAGGCCAGGGGCUGGCGGCGCUUUGGCCUUGGAUAGAAAGUGGGGAAUGGGGUGGGGGGCUUCGGACCUCUUAACGUGGAUUACUUGGUGUGUAUCAGCUGGCUUCGAAGACCCACGCCCUCGUCUCCAGCCUUGGAUAGAUUCCUGCUACCUAACAGUCGGGCAGCUAACCUGGAGGUGAAAUCAGAAGUUUCUGGCUGACUCCGUGGAUGCUUUGAGCCCCGAAAGGAGGAUGAGAAAAAGACAAGGUUGUGCUGUGUUGCCCAGGCUGCUUUUGGACUCUUGGCCUCAAAUGAUACUUCCUGGCUCGGCCUCUCAAAGUGCUGGGAUUACAGGUGUGAGCCACCACGCCCGGCCGAGACGGUUCUUUUUGAUGGGCUGGGAAGGACCGACCAAGGGCUGCUCCUCUGUCCUCAUCCACGUCUCCCCCGUGAAGGGUAGUUGAACUCACAUGUGCCACCAAGACCCCUGUGAAGGACCCGGCUGAGGCCAGGCUGUCUCUUGAAAGGCAAGAGCUCUGGAUUCAACCAAGAAUUCUUUUGGAGAACAAAGAAACUUCUGGAUCUGAGGAGACAUUUGGGUAGAAAGCAAGGACCUUCAGUGAGAGGUGUUGCUGGAGGAAACUCACCAUCCCAGACCUUGACCUUCCUUCCUCUGCUGCUCCCUGCACCCAAAGCCCUGUCCCCAGCACCCAAAGGGCUUUCUACCACUCCCUUUCUUGCUCCCCAUGUCUGCCCUGCCUUUGGACUCAGCAGUUCUUGUUUGCCCCAUUAUCUUGCAGCCGGAUGCAGAGUGAAUAGUUAACUACACUUAGUUUCAAAAGGGAUCUUGGUUUCUGUUCCCAUUCCUUCUGAAGAGGGCAGUGUCCGUGAGUAACAAGCAGCCUCAGGAGGGUGUCUCUUCUCAUGCGUUUGGAAUCUGGACCCCGGGUUCCAGAGUGAGGCACGGACCAAUGCAGGAGCCCGCAGGCUCUCAGACCACAGGGCCACCCGAGAAGGCCUCUGCCUGGGAGCUGACGUGAAGGCUGGUGUUCUCCAUGUUCAACUCCUUGGAGUCACACACAGAUGUCAUCUGCAAGGGCACAAAGUGAACACUGUUGUUCAUUCCCGCUGCCUACUAUGACACAGAGGCAAGAUGUGAAGACCUCCUUCUCCCAGGUGGCAAUCAGAGUCUAUGCCAGAUCGUGGUGCUUCAUGACAAGCUGGCCAGAUGCCAUGGCUGGUGGUAUUUGUUGAGGAUGCCCUUCCCCCAGUGUGUGCUGGUCACACAUACACACCUAUCAACAGCCCGAGAUUCCUCUUUUUCUUUUUACCCUGUGGCCACCACAUGCAUGGUUAAAAACACUGCCUAAAUGUCUAUCAUGGGUCAACUUUGGCCAAAAUGCAGAGCCAAAGAUGU